rnacentral:rRNA from 1 species
CCCCGGGCAUCAUACGUGGUGUUCGACAGACCAGGGCGAUGGUUCGUCAGGAGCAGCAUUGAGUUUUCCCAGCAUCCCCCGUGCGGGGAGGCCGUCUCGGGGUCCGAGGCUUCGGCUGAGGAUUGCCCCGGGACGUCUCCUUAAGAAUGGACGUUCAUAGCUUCUGGUCUAAUGCGGUAUUUGCCCACCACGGCACGUUGUGAGGUCACCCACAGGCUCAAACUGCCGAGCGUGAAUCCAGGACGAUGGCAACGAUGCGUUUGUUUUGCUCGGACACCCGAGUUAUAUCACGCGUGUCUAGUCCUGGGUCAGGCGGCGACCGAGAUAAACCUGGUAUGAUCCUCUUGCGACGAGCUGCUUUCUGGCCAGUCCGACGCUCAGGCGCUUCCACUGUGCCGGAAGUGUCAACCCCAGGCGGUCUGUUCCCUGSUGCAUUAUUACGCMAGGUCUCUCARCCGGGCGUUGGACUGARUGGUGUUCAAUCCAGCACCAUCGGUCACGUCUCGAAACACGGGCCAAGGAGUAUAGCAUGUGUGCAAGUCUAAGGGUCUCUCAAAACCCGCAGGCGAAGUGAAAGCAAGACUGAGGCGGGGGAGYUACGGCAAACCCGCCGGCCUUGUCGCGGGCUCGCGCUCGUUGACUGGCUUACAACAGAGCUGAUUUGCUUACAUGGUUAAAUCUUUGUGCAGGCCCAAGCUCCGGGCUCACGUACAAACACCGGUCAUGCCUCGUGCGUGGCUGUGUUGUGAGCACCGUGGAGCAUGCAUGCUAU